UGAGGGGAUAGCCUUUCGAAAGGAAGAUUAAUACCGCAUAAGAUUGUAGUAUCGCAUGAUAUAGCAAUUAAAGGAGCAAUUCGCUAUAAGAUGGACCCGCGUCGCAUUAGCUAGUUGGUGAGGUAAUGGCUCACCAAGGCGACGAUGCGUAGCCGACCUGAGAGGGUGAUCGGCCACAUUGGGACUGAGACACGGCCCAGACUCCUACGGGAGGCAGCAUG
rnacentral:rRNA from 1 species